UCUCGCUCAGUCAGUGAGACUGCGCAGUAGCUUACUGCGGAGCUCAACGUGGAGGAGGAAGGAAGGAAAAUUCAAAGAUGCCACGUAAAGAAAGACGGCAGAAACAAAAAAGAAAUAGAUGCAGCUGAUAGAUGCAGCAAAAGGUAGUGGAUUGUUGACCGACUGGGUCAGAACGAGUACUGCAGAUGGACAGAAGGAAAGUGAUAGAUCAGAGGAGGAGACAAAAAUGCAGUCAACAACACAGGAAGACAGGCAAGGAGAGGGACAACAGUCAGAAAUCAAAGACACAGAAAUGCAGUCAACACAGGAAGACAGGCAAGGAGAGGGACAACAGUCAGAAAUAAACACUAUGGAUGA